rnacentral:rRNA from 1 species
AUUGAACGCUGGCGGCAGGCCUAACACAUGCAAGUCGAACGGUAACAGGAAGAAGCUUGCUUCUUUGCUGACGAGUGGCGGACGGGUGAGUAAUGUCUGGGAAACUGCCUGAUGGAGGGGGAUAACUACUGGAAACGGUAGCUACUACCGCAUAACGUCGCAAGACCAAAGAGGGGGACCUUCUGGCCUCUUGCCAUCGGAUGUGCCCAGAUGGGAUUCGCUAGUAGGUGGGGUAACGGCUCACCUAGGCGACGAUCCCUAGCUGAUCUGAGAGGAUGACCAGCCACACUGGAACUGAGACACGGUCCAGACUCCUACGGGAGGCAGCAGUGGGGAAUAUUGCACAAUGGGCGCAAGCCUGAUGCAGCCAUGCCGCGUGUAUGAAGAAGGCCUUCGGGUUGUAAAGUACUUUCAGCGGGGAGGAAGGGAGUAAAGUUAAUACCUUUGCUCAUUGACGUUACCCGCAGAAGAAGCACCGGCUAACUACGUG